ACGAACGCUGGCGGCGUGCCUAAUACAUGCAAGUCGCGCGAAGUUUUUCUGGUGCUUGCACUAGAAAAACUUAGCGGCGAACGGGUGAGUAACACGUAAAGAACCUGCCUCAUAGACUGGGACAACUAUUGGAAACGAUAGCUAAUACCGGAUAACAGUAUUUCUCGCAUGGGAGAUAUUUAAAAGUUGGUUAUGCUAACACUAUGAGAUGGCUUUGCGGUGCAUUAGCUAGUUGGUGGGGUAAAGGCCCACCAAGGCGACGAUGCAUAGCCGACCUGAGAGGGUGAUCGGCCACACUGGGACUGAGACACGGCCCAGACUCCUACGGGAGGCAGCAGUAGGGAAUCUUCCGCAAUGGGCGAAAGCCUGACGGAGCAACGCCGCGUGAGUGAAGAAGGAUUUCGGUUCGGAAAGCUCUGUUGUUAGGGAAGAAUGGAUAUGUAGUAACUAUACAUGUAAGAGACGGUACCUAACCAGAAAGCCACGGCUAACUACG
rnacentral:rRNA from 1 species